rnacentral:rRNA from 1 species
UACGGGGGGAGCAAGCGUUGUUCGGAUUUACUGGGCGUAAAGGGCGCGUAGGCGGCCACCGCAAGUCGACUGUGAAAUCUCCGGGCUUAACUCGGAACGGUCAGCUGAUACUGCUUUGCUAGAGUGCAGAAGGGGCAAUCGGAAUUCUUGGUGUAGCGGUGAAAUGCGUAGAUAUCAAGAGGAACACCUGAGGUGAAGACGGGUUGCUGGGCUGACACUGACGCUGAGGCGCGAAAGCUAGGGUAGCAAACGGG